GAUGAACGCUAGCGGCAGGCUUAACACAUGCAAGUCGAGGGGUAACAGAGGUAGCUUGCUACUUGCUGACGACCGGCGCACGGGUGAGUAACGCGUAUACAAUUUGCCUUAUACAGGGGGAUAGCCUUUAGAAAUGAAGAUUAAUACCCCAUGGUUUGUUAGAAUCUCCUGAUUUUAACAAUAAAGAUUUAUCGGUAUAAGAUGAGUAUGCGUUCUAUUAGCUAGAUGGUAAGGUAACGGCUUACCAUGGCAACGAUAGAUAGGGGCCCUGAGAGGGGGAUCCCCCACACUGGUACUGAGACACGGACCAG
rnacentral:rRNA from 1 species